CCCCGGGCGCACCUCCCCCAGCGCUGCUGGCUGCUGCCGUCGGGCGCUGACAGAGCCGGGCCCGCCCUGCAGCCCGAGGCCCGGCCGGCCAAACGUUGGCUGCGGUGCUCCGUCCGUGCGGCCGCUGGGGACGCGGAGACCGCGGUUCUGUGCCGGGCGGAGGCCGUGACGGGAGCUCCUCGCUGCCCUCCGUCCCCCCUCGGCCUUCUGUACCCAGCGCCGAGCAAAGGCCGUGCCCGCAGCCUGCCCUGCGCUGCCGUGUGCCCGGGCCCCUCCCCAGCGCUGAGGCCUGGGCUGGGCCCUCACCCCGCGGGGCAGAGUCGUUCCCAGUGGGAGCAGACCCUCAAGUACCCAAAUGGAGAGGCAUGGACUGGUUUUGCUUUUUUAAAAAAUUGCUUAGGUUUUUAUUAUUAUUUUGUGUUGUCCUUUUAAAUUGGUUAUGGUCCAGUGCUGAAACAAAAGUCCCAAUGGACAACUGGAAUGGACCUUCAUGCUGAACUUCAGCCCUUCUUCCCAUCCAAACCAAAGUCCUCUGCUUCUCCAAAGGAACAGCCACCUCUGUAUCUUCUGUGACACCGCCUGGAGGCCGCAGGGAGCUCGGGGCCGUCCGCUGGACUCCUCCUGCUGUCCUGGUGCAGCAGCUCAGAGGACAGCAGUCCCAGUCCUGCCCUCUUCUCAGGGCUCACCUGGAGGCUGCAGGAUGCUCAGGGCCAUCUGCUGGACUUGUCUUGUUGUCCCGGCACAGCAGCUUAUAGGACAGCAGUCCCAGUCCUUCCCAUUUCCUCAGAGCUCGGGAAAGAAGAGGAUGGUGUUGGCUUUCAGAGAGAACUGCCCUGCCUUUCUUUACCUCGAGCCAGAAGUGGGGUAAAGCAAAUCCUUCAGACAUGCCUUCCAGGGGAGCAGCAGUCACUUCCUCCAGAGGCUGCGUUAAGCACAGCAACAAAUCAGAGCAGAUGUGGCUCAAUGAAACCAUCCCACAGCUCAGGAUGAGUGAGGUGGUUACAAACAGCUUUGAAUAUGUGUAUGCUUGUGUACAACAUAGCCGAACAAACCUCCACUGCUGUUUGUGCUGCAGAACAGAUGACUUGGAAAAGGCUCUCGAAGUUCUGGGACUUCACCCUGACAAGUUCUGGAUUUGAACAUCCCCAAGUCUCGAGGCUGCCUGCUGCCUGGCGUGGGCUUAUCUCUGCAGGAGGCAAGCUGAAGUGCUCCGUGCCAUUGCCAUGCCUUUUAAAUUUUCAGGAGUGGAGGAUCCAUGUGAGCACGCCAGCAGCAGUGUGUGUAUUUAGAUAUAUUGCUGUGGGUACAGUAUGAUCGUAAUGAGGUGACGCGGCGCUGGGACUGCACCUAACUCAUCUCCUGGCAUUGUGGAAGUGGGAGAAGAUGGAUGUGCUGCUCCCUCGCCUCCUCCCUCCACGUUUUGUUUGUUGUUCAGAAGACAUAUGGACAGCCACGUACACAAAUACACACAGAUUUCUCCCUGAAGAAUGAUGUCAUGGCAGAUUUUUUUUGUAUUCAGAGUAAAAUAUUAUAAUGGCACGAUUUCCUUCCUUCAAGCAAGAAAAUGGUUGAGCAGAUCUUCUAUUCUUAUGAAAAGCCUGUGAGUCUAUUACUUUCCUGGGAAUUGGAUAUUUUUUUCUUGAAAUGGGCUGCUUUUCUCACCUUAAAAAAAAAAUCAUAUUUUGACUGGCACACCAUUU